rnacentral:rRNA from 1 species
AACGCGAAGAACCUUACCUGGACUUGACAUAGUAAGAAUGUUUUAGAGAUAGAACAGUGUCUGCUUGCAGAAGCUUGCAUACAGGUGCUGCACGGCUGUCGUCAGCUCGUGUCGUGAGAUGUUGGGUUAAGUCCCGCAACGAGCGCAACCCUCGUCGUUAGUUGCUAACAGUUCGGCUGAGGACUCUAACGAGACUGCCUGGGCAACCAGGAAGGAGGGUGAGGACGACGUCCAGUCAUCAUGCCCCUUACGUCCAGGCUACAAAACGUCCUACAAUGGGGUAUACCAAAGAAGCAGCGAAUACAGUGAUGUGGAGGCAAAACUCUUAAAAUAUUCUCCAGAGUCCGAAUAGUAGGUCUGCCACUCCGACCACCUGGGAGUGGGGAUUGCUUAGGUAACCGUAGACUACGACCAAUGCACACGGUGA